rnacentral:rRNA from 1 species
AGAGUUUGAUCAUGGCUCAGAUUGAACGCUGGCGGCAGGCCUAACACAUGCAAGUCGAACGGUAACAGGAAGCAGCUUGCUGCUUCGCUGACGAGUGGCGGACGGGUGAGUAAUGUCUGGGAAACUGCCUGAUGGAGGGGGAUAACUACUGGAAACGGUAGCUAAUACCGCAUAACGUCGCAAGACCAAAGAGGGGGACCUUCGGGCCUCUUGCCAUCGGAUGUGCCCAGAUGGGAUUAGCUUGUUGGUGGGGUAACGGCUCACCAAGGCGACGAUCCCUAGCUGGUCUGAGAGGAUGACCAGCCACACUGGAACUGAGACACGGUCCAGACUCCUACGGGAGGCAGCAGUGGGGAAUAUUGCACAAUGGGCGCAAGCCUGAUGCAGCCAUGCCGCGUGUAUGAAGAAGGCCUUCGGGUUGUAAAGUACUUUCAGCGGGGAGGAAGGGAGUAAAGUUAAUACCUUUGCUCAUUGACGUUACCCGCAGAAGAAGCACCGGCUAACUCCGUGCCAGCAGCCGCGGUAAUACGGAGGGUGCAAGCGUUAAUCGGAAUUACUGGGCGUAAAGCGCACGCAGGCGGUUUGUUAAGUCAGAUGUGAAAUCCCCGGGCUCAAACUGGGAACUGCAUCUGAUACUGGCAAGCUUGAGUCUCGUAGAGGGGGGUAGAAUUCCAGGUGUAGCGGUGAAAUGCGUAGAGAUCUGGAGGAAUACCGGUGGCGAAGGCGGCCCCCUGGACGAAGACUGACGCUCAGGUGCGAAAGCGUGGGGAGCAAACAGGAUUAGAUACCCUGGUAGUCCACGCCGUAAACGAUGUCGACUUGGAGGUUGUGCCCUUGAGGCGUGGCUUCCGGAGCUAACGCGUUAAGUCGACCGCCUGGGGAGUACGGCCGCAAGGUUAAAACUCAAAUGAAUUGACGGGGGCCCGCACAAGCGGUGGAGCAUGUGGUUUAAUUCGAUGCAACGCGAAGAACCUUACCUGGUCUUGACAUCCACGGAAGUUUUCAGAGAUGAGAAUGUGCCUUCGGGAACCGUGAGACAGGUGCUGCAUGGCUGUCGUCAGCUCGUGUUGUGAAAUGUUGGGUUAAGUCCCGCAACGAGCGCAACCCUUAUCCUUUGUUGCCAGCGGUCCGGCCGGGAACUCAAAGGAGACUGCCAGUGAUAAACUGGAGGAAGGGGGGAUGACGUCAAGUCAUCAUGGCCCUUACGACCAGGGCUACACACGUGCUACAAUGGCGCAUACAAAGAGAAGCGACCUCGCGAGAGCAAGCGGACCUCAUAAAGUGCGUCGUAGUCCGGAUUGGAGUCUGCAACUCGACUCCAUGAAGUCGGAAUCGCUAGUAAUCGUGGAUCAGAAUGCCACGGUGAAUACGUUCCCGGGCCUUGUACACACCGCCCGUCACACCAUGGGAGUGGGUUGCAAAAGAAGUAGGUAGCUUAACCUUCGGGAGGGCGCUUACCACUUUGUGAUUCAUGACUGGGGUGAAGUCGUAACAAGGUAACCGUAGGGGAACCUGCGGUUGGAUCACCU